rnacentral:rRNA from 1 species
CUACGGGGUGCUGCAGUGGGGAAUCUUGGACAAUGGGCGCAAGCCUGAUCCAGCAAUACCGUGUGUGUGAAGAAGGCCUUCGGGUUGUAAAGCACUUUCAGCGGGGAAGAAAAACUUGAAACGAAUAAUUUCAAGGUUGACGUUACCCGCAGAAGAAGCACUGGCUAACUCUGUGCCAGCAGCCGCGGUAAUACAGAGAGUGCGAGCGUUAAUCGGAAUUACUGGGCGUAAAGCGCGCGUAGGUGGAGCUUUAAGUCGAUUGUGAAAUCCCCGGGCUUAACUUGGGAAUUGCAUUCGAUACUGACGUUCUAGAGUAUGGUAGAGGGGAGUGGAAUUUCCGGUGUAGCGGUGAAAUGCGUAGAUAUCGGAAAGAACACCAGUGGCGAAAGCGGCUCCCUGGACCAAUACUGACACUUAGGCGCGAAAGCGUGGGGAGCAAACAGGAUUAGAUACCCGAGUAGUC